rnacentral:lncRNA from 1 species
AUACCAAGUGCCAUUUAAUGGCUAAACCUUAAUACUGCAAUUAUCCUUCACUUUCUCCAGGGCUUUUAACUGAGUGCACAUGAGUGGCCUUUCAGAAAAAUGGGUGGAAGGAGUGAAUACUUGGCAAUAAUUGGCCCUUGAAGUGGAGGCUCAAUCAGGCAUAUACUUUAUCCACUAGGCUGUGUUGCUUCUCCACAAUUCUGCUGGAGAGAAAGGCUGAUAGCAGGAUCCCCAAAUCGUUGUUAUCAUGCGUUGAAAUAUGGGCAUCUGGAG